CCCUUAGAUGUUCUGGGCUGCACGCGCGCUACACUGACACUAUCAACGAGUGCUCCUGGUUUGAAAGGAUCGGGUAAUCUUUUGAAAUGGUGUCGUGAUGGGGAUAGAUCAUUGCAAUUAUUGAUCUUGAACGAGGAAUUCCUAGUAAAUGUGAGUCAUCAGCUCGCGUUGAUUACGUCCCUGCCCUUUGUACACACCGCCCGUCGCUCCUACCGAUUGAGUGAACCGAUGAGUAGUCCGGAUUGCGAUCGACCUCGGUUAAUCGCGAGAAGUUCCGCAAAUCACUUCACUUAGAGGAAGGAGAAGUCGUAACA
rnacentral:rRNA from 1 species